ACAACAUAUGGUUUUAACAACAAGACAAUCCAAAUUCAACAUCUCAUGUAACGAUAUUGCUCUAUGUAGUUUUGAUAGAGAAUUAUAUCAACCACCUAGAAGGAAUGGUUGAGUAUCUAUAUCCUUAGUAGGAGCCAUGCUUCCACUAAGGAAUUGGAUAAUUCUUAUAUGACUACAUUAAAAGUCUUAGUAUGACUAAAACUUGAAGUAUGGUGUAUGACAUCGUAUAAUUAAAUGAAUAGACUUGAUAAAACAAGUCACAUAUUCAAAAAGGAAUUACUUUAGAAGGAAUUCUUUUGUAUGUGAUUCGUUUAAAUAACUUGUGUUAGCUAGAGUUGUUGAUGGUCUCAAAAUUGUUGAGACAUCAUCAAUAAACUAAUGGAUCUCAAUGGAUCCAAGACAAGUUAGUGGGAGCAAUAUGCAUUCAAAUCAAGAAAAUUUAAUUGUUAAUUUUGAAUGAAUGCUAAGUUGCAACAAGGCCAGAGGGAGUGAUGUCAUAAUUUGAGCAACAAGAUGUGAAUAAAGUCUAUUUGAUAGACUUGAUGAAACAUAGAUGUUACUCGAAAAUGACAAAACAUGACACGGUCAAUUUUGAAGUAUAGACUUGAAAUUAGACUUACUGAUAUAGCAAGGCUAUCUCAAUAAUGUUAUAUGGGAAUUAAAUCUCAAAUGUUGAAGAUUUAAGAAAGCAUUUUCCUAUGUGAUAGGAAAUCACUUUCAUAACCCUUAUAAUGAAUGUGUCAUAAAAUCACAAAAGGGACACAUGUGUUGACUUGUGAAGUAGAUAUCCAAAGGUGAAGAAACCACUAAGUUUAUCACGUUAAGAUAUUACUAUAUCCCAGGAUCAGAACCAAAGCAACUGAUAGAGUAUUAUUGCCUUUAAGAAAGAAACA
rnacentral:lncRNA from 1 species